CCGCGACCUCUAAGCCCUCGUCCUUUAGUCUGCAGCAGCCAAGGGUAGUUAGUGGUUUACCAUCUCCACGGAAGGUCCCGCGGUCUCGAGUCCAGCCAGUUUCCCUGUCACCAAGCCAAGGCCGGACAGGCGUGGGGAGGUUUUCCUGAGGUCUGCAAGGCGCUCCGUCCAUCUCACCCCGCCCACGGAUAAUCCGACUAUGGUGGCCGGGCAAGGACCACACACAGGUAUCUGACCUUUGAAGAUAUGGCCGUGGCUUUCACUCAAGAGGAGUGGGGACAGCUGGACCCUGCUCAAAAAGCUCUGUACCAGGAGAUGAUGCUGGAAAUCUAUGGGCUUCUGGUGUCUCUAGAUCCUCUGAGAGUGUGCAGUUAUAGAAGAGUGUGAUUAUUCCUAUCUUGGCAUGGCAAACCUACCUCAUCCAUCUGUACCUGCUUGUCCUCCAUCAUGGGAGCAAACCGCUGGAGUUACUGAAGUAGACUAUUAGUCUUCAGAAGGUAUCCUGUCCCCAGCCUGGAGCUGCUGCGCCAGCGGGAGCAAGUGCAGGAGCCAUGGACAGUGAGUGGUCAAGUCCCCCUGCGGAAGCACCUGCGUAGGUGGCAGCAGAAAAACCAAGGCCAUAGGCACUGCAUGCACGUGUAAGCCAAAACUGUCUGAGGGAACCUCAUUCUGGGGAGAAUUAACACCAAAGACCCCAGGAAGCUUGCAGUGGGUGUAAAGUCCAUGACAGUCAGUCGGAAGUUCAGAAAAGACUCUUCAACCAAGAGCCAGAGGCCCUGGGGGGAAGAUCCCUGGGAAAACGCGUCCCAUACAGGGUGCUAUAAAGGUAGCUGAAGAAGAGGAAACUAUCUUCAGAUACAGUGAAUGUGGGAAGGCAUUUAGUAAGAAACAUCUCCUGGCUGGGCAUGAAAAGAUCCACUCUGGUGUGAAGUCCUACGAGUGUACAGAAUGUGGACAAGUGCUCUUCCUAAAGAGUACUCCUCUCCUCUAGCACCAGAUGAUCCACACAGGCGAGAGGCCGUACACGUGCCUGGAAUGUGGGAAGGCCUCCCACCACAAGUCAGACCUCACCCGGCACCAGCAGAUCCACAGUGGGGACAGUGAGAUCCACCAGUGCAACAAAUGUGGGAAAUCCUUUACCAACGCUCCAAUUUUGUUCUGCAUAGCAGGAGACAUAUUGCAGAGAAAUCUUUUGUGUGUACUGAAUGUGGACAAGUCUUUUGACAUUGGGGAGGUUUCGUUAGACACUUUGUCAUCCAUGGUAGAGAGAACCCAUACGAGUGCUUUGAGUGUGGACAGAUCUUCAAACACCUCCUGUGGCACCAGCAGACACACAUAGGAAAGAAGCCCUAUGAGUUCAAUGAGUGUGGGAAAGUCUUCCUUGAGAGUGCUGCCCUGAUCCACCACUAUGUGAUCCACACUGGGGAGAAGCCCUUUGAGUGCCUCCAGUGUGGCAAAGCCUUCACCCACUGCUCUUCGUUUAUCUUGCGUAAAAAAAGUCCACACCAGAGAGAAACCCUUUGAGUGCAAAGAGUGUGGGAAAGCCUUCACCAGUCAGAAAGAUCUCAUCCAGCACUUCAGCAUCCACACUGGAGAGAAGCCCUAUGAGUGUGUGGCAUGUGGGAAGGCCUUUCUGUGCCUGUCAGGUCUUACGAGGCACCAGCGAGUUCAUAGUGGGGAACGUAUUUGAAGUAUUGAGUGUGGGAAGACCAUGCCAUCAUCCACACUGGGGAGAAGCCGUGUAAGUGCACUGAACGUGGGAAGGUCAUCAGUCUCAGCUCAUCCCUCAAUCAGCAUCAAAAGCUGCAGUGACAGAAGCCCUACCAGUGUGGCAGAGAAGGGAAGACCAUUCACAGCCACAUAGCUCUCAGUUAUCCUCUGUGAACUCCUUCUUGGGAAAGGGAAAUCUUUUCUCACAAGAAACGUCUUCUUCAGGAUCUGAUCCUCUACACCAAAGGGAAGCGGCACCAGUGUCUUGACUAUAAAACAAACAAACAAGCUAGCAAAACCCUUCCUAUGACAGCAUACCCUGUCAUCUGAAGAGCAACAGCAGCAGCAGACCCAGCCUUAUUUCCCCUCUGAAAAUUCAACCAGGAAGAACUCCAGGGUUUGGGGUGGGUUGUGGUAGGGGUGGGAUCUUGUUUUAAGUUCACACAGGAAAACUUCAGUCACAUCUCCCUACAAAUUUACAUCGUCGUGUUAUCUCAGGGAUUGUUUUACAAAGCAGAUGCAGACAAAAAUAAAAUCACAGAUCUCUUCAGACCUCCCAGACAAACCUAUGGCACUGUGAUAUCGACUCCUCAGCUUAUUGGAGUGAGGUGAGUGUUUUAGUGGUCAAAGCCUUUGGCCCUUUCUUGUGCCUUGUGUAUUCACAUGGUGUUGGGGAGUGAGCUGAGACCAAGCCUGUAAACAUGUAUUGCAUAUCUUUGUGUCCUAAGAUACUAAUCUUGAGACCAGUAACCUUUGUGAUGAACGAGGGACACUUGAGCCGUGAAAUACUUCAUAUGUAAGGCAAUAAGGAUCCACAUUUUUCCUAAGUAUCUGUAUUCUUGCAAAUUCCAACAGCCUUUUUGUUUUCCUUUACCAAGAUAUACCUUUCUCUCUGUCUCUCUCUCUCUCUCUGUCUCUCUCUCUGUGUAUGUGUAUAAACUCUCUUAACUGCUGAGCCAUUUCUCUACCUCUUUCAUCAUAUAAAUAUACACCUUUCUUUACAAUAUACAGCUGAAAAUUUUGCUUGUCUUUGUAGGGUGAAAAUAAUAAAGCUUGUGUUUUCAGCUGUUUCAAAAUUUUUUCAGAUUAAA
rnacentral:lncRNA from 1 species